CAGUAGCCACGGUAAUACGGAGGGUGCAAGCGUUAAUCGGAAUUACUGGGCGUAAAGCGCACGCAGGCGGUCUGACAAGUCAGAUGUGAAAUCCCCGGGCUUAACCUGGGAACUGCAUUUGAAACUGUCAGGCUGGAGUCUUGUAGAGGGGGGUGGAAUUCCAGGUGUAGCGGUGAAAUGCGUAGAGAUCUGGAGGAAUACCGGUGGCGAAGGCGGCCCCCUGGACAAAGACUGACGCUCAGGUGCGAAAGCGUGGGGAGCAAACAGGAUUAGAUACCCGGGUAGUCCCUGUCUCUUAUAC
rnacentral:rRNA from 1 species